AAAAGGGCAGCAAAUAGUGGGCUCCUUUUCCUUUUACAGUGCCUUGAUAGAGACUUCCCAGCUGAACCUCCUAAUGUGAGGCUGGAAGGAUGCAGAAGGAGACCUUGGAUGGUACUGGUGGUCCAAUUCCAUAGCAGAGAUCUCCCUGGCUACCUGCUCCUCACAUCUUUCAGCUUCUGCCAGGUGUAAGCAGUUGGCUCCAGUGCCUUUCCACCCGCAGACUGUCAGCAGCAUUACCCAUGUGCCCAGUGG